UCCCAAGACUCUUGCUUGAACCUUAGAACUCUUCAAUUGAUCUAGAACAGAAUUUAGAUCACAUGUAAAAAUGAAUCAAAUUUGUUUAAUCACCCAAAUGAUAAAAGUUAAAUAGAACUCAAGAAAGAUAAAAGAUAUCCUUUGAACUCAAUCCAAACAAGAACCAAGAACAAUUGAAAUAGGAAAUCAAAAUUGAAAUAUAAGUGAUAACAAUUGUAUUCCAAAUCAACACAUUG
rnacentral:lncRNA from 1 species